UACGUAGGGGGCUAGCGUUGUCCGGAAUCAUUGGGCGUAAAGCGCGUGUAGGCGGCCCGGUAAGUCCGCUGUGAAAGUCGGGGGCUCAACCCUCGGAUGCCGGUGGAUACUGUCGGGCUAGAGUACGGAAGAGGCGAGUGGAAUUCCUGGUGUAGCGGUGAAAUGCGCAGAUAUCAGGAGGAACACCAAUUGCGAAGGCAACUCGCUGGGACGUUACUGACGCUGAGACGCGAAAGCGUGGGGAGCAAACAGG
rnacentral:rRNA from 1 species